rnacentral:hammerhead_ribozyme from 1 species
GCACUGCUGAGGCGUCCCAUGCUAGGACGAAACAGCUGUCCAGUGC